rnacentral:tRNA from 1 species
CUUUAAAGAAGCUUGCUACAGCGCUAGCCUUUUAAGCUAGAGAAGGGAACUAAUCCCCUUAGAGA